rnacentral:rRNA from 1 species
GACGAACCGUCCUAACGUUAUUCGGAAUCACUGGGCUUAAAGGGCGCGUAGGCGGAUGAGCAAGUCCGGAGUGAAAUCCUUCGGCUUAACCGGAGAAGUGCUUUGGAUACUGCUCGUCUUGAGGGAGGUAGGGGCAUGUGGAACUUCUGGUGGAGCGGUGAAAUGCGUUGAUAUCAGAAGGAACGCCGGUGGCGAAAGCGACGUGCUGGCCCUCUUCUGACGCUGAGCCGCGAAAGCCAGGGGAGCGAACGGG